GAUGAACGCUAGCGGCAGGCCUAACACAUGCAAGUCGAGGGAGGAGCUUUCGGGCUUCGACCGGCGUACGGGUGCGUAACGCGUAUACAAUCUGCCUUUCACAUAGGGAUAGCCCGAAGAAAUUUGGAUUAGUACCUAAUGGUAUAUAGAGGUGGCAUCACCUUUAUAUUAAAGCUGAGGCGGUGAAAGAUGAGUAUGCGUUCUAUUAGCUAGUUGGAGAGGUAACGGCUCCCCAAGGCGACGAUAGAUAGGGGUUCUGGGAGGGAUAUCCCCCACACUGGUACUGAGAUACGGACCAGACUCCUACGGGAGGCAGCAGUGAGGAAUAUUGGACAAUGGUCGGAAGACUGAUCCAGCCAUGCCGCGUGCAGGAAGACGGCCUUAUGGGUUGUAAACUGCUUUUGCAGGGGAAGAAUAAGGACUACGCGUAGUUUGAUGACGGUACUCUGCGAAUAAGCAUCGGCUAACUCCGUG
rnacentral:rRNA from 1 species